GUACAAUGAAAUAGUAAUUUUCAUUUUGUUACUGCUUUGUCCUCAGAAUGCAUGCACCAGUCCCCAUUGUUCUCAGGUUAGGAAGGAAUGGAUGUUUAUCGUCCUGAGUCUUCUUUGCUCAUAACCACUGGCUUCCCAAUUCACUGUCGGUCUCUGUUCUAAUAUCAGAGGGGAAAAAAAAGAAGACAUUCUUAAUUUCUCAAACUUGAUUAGAAAAAUGUUGCAAAAACCUCAUCACACGCUCAAAUCAGACCCCAAACACAUAAAUUUCAUUAGAUGACAAUACAUAGCUAUUACCACAGAUUUACAAACAUCUUCACAAAAAGUUUCAAAAAACUUCCACAAGUUAAAUCAUCCAAUUUUCAUCCCAUGUGCUUAUCCCUCAGAACCACUGGUGGAAGUUGUUGUUAAACAGUGGGUCUUGCAUGCAAGCUCUACAGUUAUGCACAGUAUUUCCAUGACAUCCCAAGCCAUGAGGUUCAUGCUGCCAUAUCCCCCUGUUUAACAAGUGUGGAAACUGAUAAUGGACUCACAAUUGCUGAUGUAUAGGUUCUAAUGUUUUCUAUUGUGGACACGGGACACCCAGACUGAGGUUCGUGGAUUUUUGAAAUUUCUAAUAAUAAGAUAAAUUUGUGACUUAAUUUUGAGUGGAUGAACUUGAUUUGUUGUGGUUAUAUUGUUCAGUUAGUAUGUAAGUAAAUAUACAAAUAAAUGAAAAAGGGGUUGGCCAACUAUCAAUGUAUAGAGCACAUUGAUAGCAAAGUUGUUUACAUAACUUACACUUUUAGUCCUUAAAUACCAUACGAAUUGAGCAUGUUUUAUCUCUCCUUCUGAGAUCAUUAAAUGGGUCAUUAAAUAUAGGGACUAUAAGCAACUGUCAAUAUUGAUUAGGGUAGUUCAAUGUUAACAUUGUUGAUUUUUGAAGCUUUAUUAUGAACUUGGAAGCAAAGGCGCCACACACUGAAAUUAAGGAGAUCCAAAGACUUACUUUGAUAAUAGAAAAUUCAUAGCGAUUAUCAUAGGUUCAUAUGAUAUCACAUUAAUUGUUAUGCAAAACUUAUUCUUGUGAGUUCUCAAAGGUAGUUAUCCUCUCUAUUCAUCCCACAGAACCAAUGGCUCCAGUCUGAUUUAAACAUGGGUCCGUGCUCACACACUCAAUACCUACCCUCUGUGCUCACAAGUCCUGUGUGAGUAAGACUCCAAAUUAUUCUGUCUUGUUUUACUCAAUGGUAUGCUCUACCUUAUUAUAGAGUAUACCAUGUAUUGAGACAAGAAUGCCAGUCAUUCUGA
rnacentral:lncRNA from 1 species